CAAAAAAAACAAACAUUCACUACUCGUUUUAACUCGUAUAACUCGUGUUGUGACACACAGAACUCUGAAAUGUGGCCCAACAGCUUUUUCUUGUUCGGACAAAUCAAACUGUUUCAGCGUUAAAGCUGAAGCUGCUCUGCCUGUGUUCAGUGUGUUGAGUAAUCGAGUGAUCUACAGUUCUGAUAUGAGGAUUCAGUGGAGGAUCUCUCUCUCUCUCUCUGGGAGGGUCUGAAGCUCCACAAGUAAACACUGACUGACCGUCCUGAUGAAGAUGGACAUGGAGGUUCUUACUGAAUAGCGAGGAAAGGUAACAGUGCUUCCAGUUCUUCUAGUUCUCUCAGUUUAGAUCGCAGAGUUUGGAAUUAUAAUCCUGAUUAUGGGGCAAGUUUUAAACCUAAAUGAAUGUUUAUUUGGGUAGAAGAUUGUUCAGAUCUGGACGUAACUUUGUGUAUAUACAGGAAAAUUGGGUCGUCCUAUAAAACAGCUGAGUCAUUGUCCAGAUACGUAUGGAUCAGAUGUUACAUUGUUUAGAGUUUAAUCUAAUUCCGUGCACGGAUUCACAAAAAAAAAAAAAUGGAUGAAAUGGGAUCCAUGUGCUCUGGACCAAAAACAAAAAGUACUAUCCAGUCUGUUUUCAGCAAAAGUCAGAUGGUCAGGCUCUGUCCGAGUAUGGAGGUGUUAGGUGUCACUAACUUCUGUAAGGCAGUAUUAAAGAACUAAUAUGUAACUUAUUUUCAGUAGUAAAUGAUAAACCUAUCAGGAUGUAUCAUCAGAUAUUAAUGAAACAUGCUGAAUAAAAAAAACGGCAGCUUAUGUCAGCAGGGCUUCAGCCAGUACAUUCCUAUUUUAAGUGUGCAGUCCGUCAUAGUAUCAGUAUCUGUGUUUGUUUUGGCCUCUGACUCCGCCUCCUACUCAUUCCCCAACACUAACUCCACCUCCAGGGUUACCAGUACACAACAGCAAAGGAGGAACUGUGUCCAUAAAGAUUGACCAUUCAAUCAUGGAACCUCCUGGAUUCAGUAGUAGUGAAGGACAGUCAAGUUGUGUCUCAAUGAAGAGUGACCGGUCCCUUCCAGAACCUCCUGGAUUCAGUAGUGGUAAAGGACAGUCAAGUUGUGUCUCAAUGAAGAGUGACCGGUCCCUUCCAGAACCUCCUGGAUUCAGUAGUAAAGGAGGAUCAAGUUGUGGCUCA
rnacentral:lncRNA from 1 species